AUGAUUCAUUAUUGUAUUUCUUGCUCUUAUUGUAUUACUUGUAUUGUAACACUUGAAAUGUAUUUGCUUACGAUUGUAAGUAGCCCUGGAUAAGGGCGUCUGCUAAUAAAUAAAUAAUAAUAAUAAUAAAUGUAUUUUUUUCUAUAUAUACAUGUAAGUUAAUAACUGUUUUAUUUAACAUAGUGUUUUGUGUGUGUGUGUGUGUGUGCAAAAUGUAAGAUUACUGUAUGUUUUGGAUAUUUCUCUUUUUUAGAAAAGACGUUACUUGGUCAAAAAUAAUCAUACAAAAUGCGAAAUGUAUUAAAAAAAUUAACCAGAAACACAUGAGGGACUUCAACCAUGUGUAUCCGAGUUCUCAGCAGAUGGCUCUCUUGUGUUCCUUUGAUUCAGAGGUGAAGGCUGUCAAUGGGCUUGAAAGAACUCAGUUAUAACGGAUAGUCUUUGUUGAAGCAGAAAUGACCAGAUUCUCUGUGAAAGGAACAAAGAGCUGUCAUUCACUUUCUCACUUCACCUGGAGCAAACCCUGAUCUGUUCACAGUGGGCAGAGGAGAUGAAGGACCUGCGUUAUUCAAUAUGGAAGUGCAAUAAUACUUUUUGAUAAUUACAUUUUAUUGUAUGUAUUUUCAUGAUGAGACAAGUUGUUAGCAUGUGUCAUACAUAUAAACACUUAUAUGCAUGAACAACAAUGUAUACUUUUUAAAUCGGCCCGUUUAAAUAAAUGGUUUCCUUAAAUCUAGAAAUCUUCAUUAUCAUGUAUUUAUUAUGAUUCAAAUGACCUGUCCUUAAUGACAUGGUAUAGCAUUGUAUUGUAUGACAUGACUUUGGUCACUUUAUUUUUUAAUAAACAUUUGCAUUAUA